AUUGAACGCUGGCGGCAGGCUUAACACAUGCAAGUCGAGCGGGGUGAUGGUGCUUGCACUAUCACUUAGCGGCGGACGGGUGAGUAAUGCUUAGGAAUCUGCCUAUUAGUGGGGGACAACAUCUCGAAAGGGAUGCUAAUACCGCAUACGUCCUACGGGAGAAAGCAGGGGAUUACUUGUGACCUUGCGCUAAUAGAUGAGCCUAAGUCGGAUUAGCUAGUUGGUGGGGUAAAGGCCUACCAAGGCGACGAUCUGUAGCGGGUCUGAGAGGUUGAUCCGCCACACUGGGACUGAGACCCGGCCCAGACUCCUACGGGAGGCAGCAGUGGGGAAUAUUGGACAAUGGGGGGAACCCUGAUCCAGCCAUGCCGCGUGUGUGAAGAAGGCCUUAUGGUUGUAAAGCACUUUAAGCGAGGAGGAGGCUCUUUUGGUUAAUACCCAAGAUGAGUGGACGUUACUCGCAGAAUAAGCACCGGCUAACUCUGUGCCAGCCGCCGCGGUAA
rnacentral:rRNA from 1 species